rnacentral:rRNA from 1 species
ACUUGGAUAACCGUGGUAAUUCUAGAGCUAAUACAUGCUAAAAAUCCCGACUUUGGAAGGGAUGUAUUUAUUAGAUUAAAAACCAAUGCCCUUCGGGGCUCUCUGGUGAUUCAUGAUAACUUCUCGAAUCGCAUGGCCUUGCGCCGGCGAUGGUUCAUUCAAAUUUCUUCCCUAUCAACUUUCGAUGUUUGGGUAUUGGCCAAACAUGGUUGCAACGGGUAACGGAGGGUUAGGGCUCGACCCCGGAGAAGGAGCCUGAGAAACGGCUACUACAUCCAAGGAAGGCAGCAGGCGCGCAAAUUACCCAAUCCCGACACGGGGAGGUAGUGACAAUAAAUACUGAUACAGGGCUCUUUUGGGUCUUGUAAUUGGAAUGAGUACAAUUUAAACCCCUUAACGAGGAACAAUUGGAGGGCAAGUCUGGUGCCAGCAGCCGCGGUAAUUCCAGCUCCAAUAGCGUAUAUUAAAGUUGUUGUGGUUAAAAAGCUCGUAGUUGAACCUUGGGCCUGGCUGGCCGGUCCGCCUCACCGCGUGUACUGGUCCGGCCGGGCCUUUCCCUCUGUGGAACCCCAUGCCCUUCACUGGGUGUGGUGGGGAAACAGGACUUUUACUUUGAAAAAAUUAGAGUGCUCCAGGCAGGCCUAUGCUCGAAUACAUUAGCAUGGAAUAAUAGAAUAGGACGUGUGGUUCUAUUUUGUUGGUUUCUAGGACCGCCGUAAUGAUUAAUAGGGACAGUCGGGGGCAUCAGUAUUCAAUUGUCAGAGGUGAAAUUCUUGGAUUUAUUGAAGACUAACUACUGCGAAAGCAUUUGCCAAGGAUGUUUUCAUUAAUCAGGAACGAAAGUUAGGGGAUCGAAGACGAUCAGAUACCGUCGUAGUCUUAACCAUAAACUAUGCCGA